GAACAGGUGGAGGAGAGAGAGCAUCGAUAGAGAGAACAGGUGGAGGAGAGAGAGCAUCGAUAGAGAGAACAGGUGGAGGAGAGAGAGAGCAUCGAUAGAGAGAACAGGUGGAGGAGAGAGAGCAUCGAUAGAGAGAACAGGUGGAGGACAGAGAGAGCAUCGAUAGAGAGAACAGGUGGAGGAGAGAGAGAGCAUCGAUAGAGAGAACAGGUGGAGGAGAGAGAGCAUCGAUAGAGAGAACAGGUGG